CAGAAAAUAGUUUAUUAAAAUAUUAAUUUUGGAGAUUAAAGAUAAAUUUAUUUUUUUUUCUGA
rnacentral:tRNA from 1 species